ACCUCCUACGGCACCCGUCAGUAGGACUGUGGGUGUCCCAAUUUCUCCUCUCCUAGUGGGGAUUCCUGGCCGAAAGGAUGCUAUUGAAAAGGAGUUCUAUAGACAAAUUCUGGAUCCAUCAGCCAUUGCUCCUUUUCCACCUUAUGUCACCUUCCAGGACACCUCUUUAACUCCCUUUUUGAAAAAGGGUCUCAUCAUCCAAGGCAUUGGCAAUAAAACUAUUCCAGAAGCUCCUCCCUACCCUAUGC